UGUCUUCUGGUCUCGGCCCGCCGUCCGCCGCCGUACGCCCGCGUGAGGACCGUGCGACGGCCGACCGUGUCGCCCUGUCCGCCGCGACCGCCCGCGGAGCACCGGUCGCGGACCGAGGAGGUGCGGGCCUGGCUGGCCGAGCGGCGCCGGGCCCAUGUGUUCGAGGUGACGCGGAUACCGUUCGCGGAGCUGCGGCAGUGGCGGUUCGAGGAGGGCACCGGCAAUCUCGUGCACCGCAGCGGACGGUUCUUCACCGUCGAGGGCAUGCAUGUCGUCGAGUCGGACGGGCCCUUCGGGGACGGCCCGUACCAGGAGUGGCAGCAGCCCGUCGUCCGCCAGCCCGAAGUGGGCAUCCUCGGCAUUCUCGCCAAGGAGUUCGACGGAGUGCUGCACUUCCUGAUGCAGGCCAAGAUGGAGCCGGGCAAUCCCCGUCUGCUCCAGCUCUCCCCGACCGUGCAGGCCACCCGCAGCAACUACACACGGGCUCACCGGGGCACGGACGUCAAGCUCAUCGACCAUUUCUUCCGACCCGACCCCGACCGGGUCCUCGUCGACGUCCUGCAGUCCGAACAGGGCUCGUGGUUCUACCGCAAGUCCAAUCGCAACAUGAUCGUGGAGACCGUCGACGACGUUCCCGAACUGGACGACUUCCGCUGGCUCACCCUCGGCCAGAUCGCCGAACUGCUGCACGAGGACGACCUGGUCAACAUGAACGCCAGGACGGUGCUGUCGUGCGUGCAGUACCCCGACACCUCGCCCGGGGCGCUGCUCUCCGACGCCCAGCUCCUGUCCUGGUUCACCGGGGAGCGUUCCCGGCACGACAUCCGCGUGGAGGCGGUGCCGCUCGCUCCGUGCGCGGCCUGGAAGCAGGGUGUCGAGGCGAUCGAGCACGAGAACGGGCGCUACUUCAAGGUCGUCGCCGUCUCCGUGCGGGCCGGCAACCGCGAGGUGGUCGACUGGGACCAGCCGUUGCUGGAGCCGGUGGGCCUGGGGGUCAGCGCCUUCCUGGUGCGCGAGAUCGAGGGCGUACCCCAUGUCCUGGUCCAUGCCCAGGCCGAGGGCGGGUUCCUGGACACCGUCGAGCUGGCUCCGACCGUCCAGUGCACACCCGGCAAUUACGCCCAUCUCACCCCGGAGCACCGCCCGCCGUUCCUCGACACCGUCCUCGACGCCCGCCCCGAGCGCAUCCGCUACGAGGCCGUCCACUCCGAGGAGGGCGGACGCUUCCUCAACGCCAGGAGCCGCUAUCUGCUGGUCGACGCCGACGACGUCCCCCUCGCCCCGCCCCCCGGCUACACCUGGGCCACCCCGGGCCAGCUCAGGACCCUCACCCGGCACGGCCACUACCUGAACGUCGAGGCCCGCACGCUGCUGGCCUGCGUCAACGCGACGGCCGCAGGGCCGCGAGGAGGACAGUGA
rnacentral:misc_RNA from 1 species